rnacentral:ncRNA from 1 species
UAAAUUUUUUAUGGUUUAAAAAAUUUAUAAUAAGUUUAUUUUACAUAUAAAUUUUAGUGUUGAUUUUUAAUUAUUUUAAUAAUAAUUAAUUAUUUUUUAUAGUAAAUAAUUUUAAAAAUUUAAGAAAUUAAGAUUUAGUAGUAUAAAAAUUGUUAACUAAUUUUGUGCCAGCAGUUGCGGUUAUACAAAAGAUAAGGUAAAUUUUAUUAGUAAUUAAUUAAUGAAAUUUAUAUUUAAUUUAAAUUUUAAAUUAUUAGGUGAAAUUUUAAUUUAAUAAAAAUUUAUUAGAAAAAUUAUGUUAUAUUAAUAAAUUUUAUAAAAGACUAGGAUUAGAUACCCUAUUAUAAAAAAUUUAAAUUAAUAAUACUAAAAUAGUAGAUAAUUAUUUAUUGAAACUUAAAUGAUUUGGCGGUAUUUUAGUUCAUUUAGAGGAAUCUGUUUAUUAAUUGAUAAUCCACGAAUAAAUUUACUUAAUUUAAAAGUUUAUAUAUCGUUGUUAAAAAAAUAUUUUUUAAUAAAAAUAAUAUUUUAAAAUUUUAAUUAAAAAUUAAAUCAGAUCAAGAUGUAGUUAAUAAUUAAGAAUAUAAUGGAUUACAAUAAAUUUAUUUAUAUGGAUUUUAAUUUGAAAUAAUUAAAUAAAAGUGGAUUUAAAUGUAAUUUUUUUUAAUUUAUAAAAAUGAUUUAUAAUUAAAAUAUGUACAUAUUGCCCGUCGCUUUCAUUUAAAAGUUGAAAUAAGUCGUAACAAAGUAGAGGUACUGGAAAGUGUUUCUAGAAAGA